AGAAUCAACGCUGGCGGCGUGCCUCAGACAUGCAAGUCGAACGCGAAAGUUUCCUUCGGGGAGCGAGUAGAGUGGCGCACGGGUGAGUAACACGUAGGUAAUCUACCCUUGGAUGGGGAAUAACAACCGGAAACGGUUGCUAAUACCGCAUGAUGCAGCGGCACCUAAUGGUGACAGUUGUUAAAGCGGGGGAUCGAAAGACCUCGCGUCUGAAGGGAGCCUGCGGCGGAUUAGCUAGUUGGUAGGGUAACGGCCUACCAAGGCAACGAUCCGUA
rnacentral:rRNA from 1 species